AUUAAACGCUGGCGGCAUGCCUUACACAUGCAAGUCGAACGGCAGCACGGGGGCAACCCUGGUGGCGAGUGGCGGACGGGUGAGUAAAGCAUCGGAACGUAUCCUGGAGUGGGGGAUAACGUAGCGAAAGUUACGCUAAUACCGCAUAUUCUGUGAGCAGGAAAGCAGGGGAUCGCAAGACCUUGCGCUCUGGGAGCGGCCGAUGUCGGAUUAGCUAGUUGGUGGGGUAAAGGCCUACCAAGGCGACGAUCCGUAGCGGGUCUGAGAGGAUGAUCCGCCACACUGGGACUGAGACACGGCCCAGACUCCUACGGGAGGCAGCAGUGGGGAAUUUUGGACAAUGGGCGGAAGCCUGAUCCAGCCAUGCCGCGUGAGUGAAGAAGGCCUUCGGGUUGGUUAAAGUACGUCUUUCGGUCGGGGAAGGAAAGUUAG
rnacentral:rRNA from 1 species